GGGGGCGUUACGGAUUCGACGACGGUAACGAAACCUGCGGUGCAUGCCGUGAUGGCAGCCAAUCACGUUAAUCCAAAGCUGUGAACUAAUAGUUGCCAACGACGACAACUACGCACUAGCGGCUUAAACCCUGCUAGCGGUCUAUCCCAAGAUGCCAGUAUCGAGGGUGUGACUGUCACUUAGAACUGGAC
rnacentral:tmRNA from 2 species